ACCGGCACCGGCACCGGCACCGGCAUCAGCAUCAUUGGUGAGUGGCUGGGGGGCAUGGGCUAUCGUCACUUCCAUCGCCGCCGCCGAUAAGGGUGCAGGAAGACGGAGCGGAAGGUGGGACUGGACCUUCUCUCUUUAAAACAGCGUCCUUGGAGCUACUUCGAACCCUAGCACCUACCACUAGAGUUGUGGAAGUGAGAAUCAACCAGAGAGAGAUUGAGAUGAAGACCCAGAGCAUCCCAUGAUUCUUAAACAACUUCAUGCUGCAAAUGAGUGUAAUGGGC
rnacentral:lncRNA from 1 species